GGGUUGUGAGGUUAAGCGACUAAGCGUACACGGUGGAUGCCCUGGCAGUCAGAGGCGAUGAAGGACGUGCUAAUCUGCGAUAAGCGUCGGUAAGGUGAUAUGAACCGUUAUAACCGGCGAUUUCCGAAUGGGGAAACCCAGUGUGUUUCGACACACUAUCAUUAACUGAAUCCAUAGGUUAAUGAGGCGAACCGGGGGAACUGAAACAUCUAAGUACCCCGAGGAAAAGAAAUCAACCGAGAUUCCCCCAGUAGCGGCGAGCGAACGGGGAGCAGCCCAGAGCCUGAAUCAGUGUGUGUGUUAGUGGAAGCGUCUGGAAAGGCGCGCGAUACAGGGUGACAGCCCCGUACACAAAAAUGCACAUACUGUGAGCUCGAUGAGUAGGGCGGGACACGUGGUAUCCUGUCUGAAUAUGGGGGACCAUCCUCCAAGGCUAAAUACUCCUGACUGACCGAUAGUGAACCAGUACCGUGAGGGAAAGGCGAAAAGAACCCCGGCGAGGGGAGUGAAAAAGAACCUGAAACCGUGUACGUACAAGCAGUGGGAGCCUCUUAAUGGGGUGACUGCGUACCUUUUGUAUAAUGGGUCAGCGACUUAUAUUCUGUAGCAAGGUUAACCGAAUAGGGGAGCCGAAGGGAAACCGAGUCUUAACUGGGCGUUAAGUUGCAGGGUAUAGACCCGAAACCCGGUGAUCUAGCCAUGGGCAGGUUGAAGGUUGGGUAACACUAACUGGAGGACCGAACCGACUAAUGUUGAAAAAUUAGCGGAUGACUUGUGGCUGGGGGUGAAAGGCCAAUCAAACCGGGAGAUAGCUGGUUCUCCCCGAAAGCUAUUUAGGUAGCGCCUCGUGAAUUCAUCUCCGGGGGUAGAGCACUGUUUCGGCAAGGGGGUCAUCCCGACUUACCAACCCGAUGCAAACUGCGAAUACCGGAGAAUGUUAUCACGGGAGACACACGGCGGGUGCUAACGUCCGUCGUGAAGAGGGAAACAACCCAUACCGCCAGCUAAGGUCCCAAAGUCAUGGUUAAGUGGGAAACGAUGUGGGAAGGCCCAGACAGCCAGGAUGUUGGCUUAGAAGCAGCCAUCAUUUAAAGAAAGCGUAAUAGCUCACUGGUCGAGUCGGCCUGCGCGGAAGAUGUAACGGGGCUAAACCAUGCACCGAAGCUGCGGCAGCGACACUAUGUGUUGUUGGGUAGGGGAGCGUUCUGUAAGCCUGUGAAGGUGUACUGUGAGGUAUGCUGGAGGUAUCAGAAGUGCGAAUGCUGACAUAAGUAACGAUAAAGCGGGUGAAAAGCCCGCUCGCCGGAAGACCAAGGGUUCCUGUCCAACGUUAAUCGGGGCAGGGUGAGUCGACCCCUAAGGCGAGGCCGAAAGGCGUAGUCGAUGGGAAACAGGUUAAUAUUCCUGUACUUGGUGUUACUGCGAAGGGGGGACGGAGAAGGCUAUGUUGGCCGGGCGACGGUUGUCCCGGUUUAAGCGUGUAGGCUGGUUUUCCAGGCAAAUCCGGAAAAUCAAGGCUGAGGCGUGAUGACGAGGCACUACGGUGCUGAAGCAACAAAUGCCCUGCUUCCAGGAAAAGCCUCUAAGCAUCAGGUAACAUCAAAUCGUACCCCAAACCGACACAGGUGGUCAGGUAGAGAAUACCAAGGCGCUUGAGAGAACUCGGGUGAAGGAACUAGGCAAAAUGGUGCCGUAACUUCGGGAGAAGGCACGCUGAUAUGUAGGUGAAGUCCCUUGCGGAUGGAGCUGAAAUCAGUCGAAGAUACCAGCUGGCUGCAACUGUUUAUUAAAAACACAGCACUGUGCAAACACGAAAGUGGACGUAUACGGUGUGACGCCUGCCCGGUGCCGGAAGGUUAAUUGAUGGGGUUAGCGGUAACGCGAAGCUCUUGAUCGAAGCCCCGGUAAACGGCGGCCGUAACUAUAACGGUCCUAAGGUAGCGAAAUUCCUUGUCGGGUAAGUUCCGACCUGCACGAAUGGCGUAAUGAUGGCCAGGCUGUCUCCACCCGAGACUCAGUGAAAUUGAACUCGCUGUGAAGAUGCAGUGUACCCGCGGCAAGACGGAAAGACCCCGUGAACCUUUACUAUAGCUUGACACUGAACAUUGAGCCUUGAUGUGUAGGAUAGGUGGGAGGCUUUGAAGUGUGGACGCCAGUCUGCAUGGAGCCGGCCUUGAAAUACCACCCUUUAAUGUUUGAUGUUCUAACGUUGGCCCCUUACCGGGGUUGCGGACAGUGUCUGGUGGGUAGUUUGACUGGGGCGGUCUCCUCCUAAAGAGUAACGGAGGAGCACGAAGGUUGGCUAAUCCUGGUCGGACAUCAGGAGGUUAGUGCAAUGGCAUAAGCCAGCUUGACUGCGAGCGUGACGGCGCGAGCAGGUGCGAAAGCAGGUCAUAGUGAUCCGGUGGUUCUGAAUGGAAGGGCCAUCGCUCAACGGAUAAAAGGUACUCCGGGGAUAACAGGCUGAUACCGCCCAAGAGUUCAUAUCGACGGCGGUGUUUGGCACCUCGAUGUCGGCUCAUCACAUCCUGGGGCUGAAGUAGGUCCCAAGGGUAUGGCUGUUCGCCAUUUAAAGUGGUACGCGAGCUGGGUUUAGAACGUCGUGAGACAGUUCGGUCCCUAUCUGCCGUGGGCGCUGGAGAACUGAGGGGGGCUGCUCCUAGUACGAGAGGACCGGAGUGGACGCAUCACUGGUGUUCGGGUUGUCAUGCCAAUGGCACUGCCCGGUAGCUAAAUGCGGAAGAGAUAAGUGCUGAAAGCAUCUAAGCACGAAACUUGCCCCGAGAUGAGUUCUCCCUGACUCCUUGAGAGUCCUGAAGGAACGUUGAAGACGACGACGUUGAUAGGCCGGGUGUGUAAGCGCAGCGAUGCGUUGAGCUAACCGGUACUAAUGAACCGUGAGGCUUAACCUUACAACGCCGAAGGUGUUU
rnacentral:rRNA from 1 species